CAGGUAGAGAAUUGCCCCGGUGGAACGCCUCGCCAGAGCAGUGCGUAGCAGGCCCCUGCGGAGGAUUAACACAGUGGCUGAACACCAGGAAGGAACUGGCACUUGGAGUCCAGACAUCUGAAAUUUAACGGAGUAGUCAAGGAAGGCCUCGCUGUGCAGACAACACUGAGCAAAGACUUGAAGGAAGAAAGGGAACAAGAUAUCAAGAUAUUUGGGAAAAGCAUAUUCCAGGCAGAGGUCUGAGCAAAUGCAAAGACCUGACCUGAAGGGAGAAUAUCUCUGGGUGUUCAAGGAACAGUAAGGAGGCCAGAUGGUUGAAACCAGCUGAGAAAAAGGUGCAGUAACUUUAAAUUCCUCAAAUCCCCUGAGUGCAAGGCCAUGGCUCAGAAAAGCCUUGCAAACAACAGCAUUAAUCUCCCCUACAAGGACUUGACCUCCGAGGUAACCAGGCGCCGAGUCACCAUGAUCACAAGAAAAGAGAUAAUUACCCAGAAAAGUGAUGAAGCUAAGGAGAUGCUCUCCCACUUGGAUUUGGAGCAAGCCCCUCCCCCUCACAGGACCUACCUCACAGUACCUCCUGCCCCACCUCCUUCUCCAGCUGAGGAUCCCACGGUCUCCUAAGAUGUAAAACUUAUUUUGAAGUGAAUUCUUACACAGAACUCCAGAAAACAGUUUCAGUGGCAUUCUUGAGGUUUGUCUUAGAAGACUCUUGAAGAUCUUUGUUCUUUCCUAUUUUUCUUCACCUAGAACCACCAUAGAGCAUGGUUUACCCUUGCUAAUAGACUUAGUCAUUUUUGGUUUUUUAAUCCAAGUCUCUGAUAUGAUAUGCAUAUAUUUUGAUCUUUAUGUUAUGCUAUAGAACUGUUGCUGUAGUCAGUUGUAUUUAAAUUAAUAAACAGUUAUCAGGC
rnacentral:lncRNA from 1 species